UGGAAAUUAAUUGUUAAUUUACUUUUUUAGCGUACUAUGAUCUCACUUCAUUAGAAGUGUGACUUCUGUACACUUUAUACAGUACACUCUAAAAUAAGUGUAUUUUUAGUUGCAUAUCAGAGUACUUUCAUAAAAUACGUUAGAAUAAUAAAAUGUAGGCUAUACACUGCAUGAAAAGAGCUGUAUCCGGACAAAUACGGAUGGGAAAUCCCUGCUAAACCUUAGGUUUGCCAGAUAAAUGAGGCAGAGUGCUUGGAAACGUAAUACUCAGAAGUAAACUCGUGAAACAUCCAGAUAUCUUGUGUAUAUGGAUGUAUACAGGAACUGGUGGAAGUUUCUAGGAAUCCUCACAGCUGGUUGUAAGGAGUGCUGGUUGUGAGGUGUGAAGGGUUAAUGACAGAGGUGCUGUCUCUGUUUUCAAAGCUGGGUGGGGGGUUCAAGGCAGCACAUAACAUAAAAACUGGAUAAAAACAGUAUAUAUCUACAAGUGUGUUUACUAAAUACAUGUAUUAUUAUGCUAAUGUAAUUUAAUUGAUAAAGUUUUUUUUAUUUAAGAAAAUCUGAGCAUCACUCAAAAUAACUGUCAACAUGUUUGUCAACUAAACAUGUUUUGUAAACGUUAUACAUUUUAUAAAAAUAUUUUAUAUUUUUAUUAUUGAUAAAGUAUAAAGAACAAAUCAGUGUGAAAACGCAGAUUAUAAAAAGUACAUAACUGCCAGCAGAGGAUCCAAAAUAAUGAAAAAAAAACAUCCAAUGCAUCUUGGAAAUUGUAGUCAAAAUACUUCUACAGCAGCAUGCUACAGCAGUACCAACGCCAGGGCAAAAGACUCCAAUUCCCAGAAUGCACCUGCACCCACCCAUUCAUUCCCACCAAUCAGGAUCAACGGCAUUAUUUCAAACCGCUACUGACUCGUUUUCAUGCUAAACAGUACGGCUGAGAGGUCAUGUACGUUACCAUGUGGUCGACCUUGCUGACGCUGAAGAGGUUUCUGUGUAAAAAUGAUGACAUUGAGACAAACAAACCAGUUCCGGCUGCCGUGGAGGUCAACACACCACUGAUCUACUGGCUGCCCUUCAACGUGAUGCCCAGCCGAUGCCUGACCACCGACGGAACCCGUUAAAUCUCCUUAUCCGUUUACAUCCCAUCAAGCAACAUUGGCUUAACUUAGCACCCUCUUGAAUAGGAGACAUUAUUUAUUUGCUCGCUUGUAAAGUUUAUUCAUAGCCCCUGUAUUUUGCUACUUAUAUUGUCUGUCAAUUUUUCUAUGUUUCCCCUGCUUCUUUUAAUGUAAAGCUACUUUGAAACAACUACAAAUUGUGAAAAGCACUAUAUAAAUAA